AACGAACGCUGGCGGCAGGCCUAACACAUGCAAGUCGAGCGAAGCCUUCGGGCUUAGCGGCAGACGGGUGAGUAACGCGUGGGAACGUGCCCUUUGCUACGGAAUAGCCCCGGGAAACUGGGAGUAAUACCGUAUGUGCCCUUCGGGGGAAAGAUUUAUCGGCAAAGGAUCGGCCCGCGUUGGAUUGGGUAGUUGGUGGGGUAAUGGCCUACCAAGCCGACGAUCCAUAGCUGGUUUGAGAGGAUGAUCAGCCACGCUGGGACUGAGACACGGCCCUGACUCCUCCGGGAGGCAGCAAUGCGGAAUCUUAGAAAAUGGGGGAAGCCCUGGUCUAGCCAUGCCGCGUGAUCGAUGAAGGCCCUAGGGUUGUAAAGAGCUUUCAGUGGGGAUGAUAAUGACUGUACCCACAGAAGAAGCCCCGGCUAACUCCGUGCCAGCCCCCGCCGUAACAC
rnacentral:rRNA from 1 species